rnacentral:lncRNA from 1 species
UGUGGUUGCAUUAAUGUGCAUGGUGGUAGUUAGUGCACCAAUGGCAGAGGCUGCAGUAUCAUGCGGAAGUAUAACUAGUGCCCUUGUUCCAUGCAUCUCUUACCUUAAGGGAGGUCCAGGUCCUUCUUCAUCAUGUUGUGGUGGAGUGAAGAGAGUUAACGCUGCGGCCGCCACCACACCUGACCGUCGAGCCGCUUGCAAUUGCUUGAAAAAUGCUGCUGGUUCUAUUUCUGGUUUGAAGGCCGGUAAUGCUGCUGCACUCCCUAGCAAAUGUGGUGUCAACAUCCCCUACAAGUUCAGCACCUCUACCAACUGUAAUUCGUAAGUUAUAUAACUCAAAUGAAAUAUUUACAUAAAUUGGUUAAUGAUUACUUGAAAGAGUUUAAAUAGAAGCUCAAAGAUUAUUUUCAUCUUAAAAAAUAACUUAACUUCAUCUAUUUUAUUUUACUUAAUUCUAUAAUUUUUUCUAUGAAUCCAACCUUUUGUAGUCUAAGGAACACAUAAUUAUUUCAAUAAACAAUGUCAAGGCUGAUCAAAGUAUACUAUUCCUUCAUUAAUUCUAUAUAUACAAUUCUUUGUCAUUUAGCUUUUUCAAAUAUAUUAUCUUUCAUUACCUAUAUUAAUUACCUUGUCCCGAUCAUUUUUAUAAGAAAUAAUUAAAUUAUUAUUUAAUUAAUAAAAAUUAAUGUAUUUCAUUUAAGAUAUAAACUAAAGAAAAUAUUAGAUAGUGGUUUUCAUAUACUUAGUUGAAUUUAACAAUCAUUUAACUUAAAUUUUUUUUUUAAUUGUAGCAUCAACUUCUAAAGAGUGUGAAUGAGGGGAAGAAGCGGAUAGCAUGGCACUUCUUUCUAUCGAAAAUAAUAAUUAUCCAUCCUUGCGGUGGAAUUUAUUAAUGAAAUAAUAAAGAAAGACAACGAAGGCCCCACCUUUGCAGUCGAGUCUCCUCUUGUAUGAGACUUUUUUUUGUCUAUAUAUGUGUUGUACAAUUAUUAUUCUUCUUCCUAGUUUGGCUGUGU